UUCUAAUAGAAAAGAGAAGAUACAAAAUUCAAGUCUCAUCACUUUGGCCAACCUUUCUCCUUCAGGGUUGGCAAAUACAGCAGCAGAGGGGAUGCACCCAGAGGAAAACAUCUGUAUCAUUGAGGAAAACGUAUAUGAAGUGGAGGAUCCAUACGAAUGUUACUGCUCCAUCAACAGUGGGCAGCAAUCCUAACAACCUCUGGGCUGCUGUCACCUUUCAACGCCACCAGAUUCAACCACUUCAUUUAGGGGCUUGGUGUUGUCUUCUUUGAAAACAUGAGAUAGCUCAGCUGACUGAUUUGAGACAUUCUGUCCUUGGCCACCGAGCAGAGUUUUUCCAUAUUUUAAAGAUAACUAACUCACUCGAGGAUUGAGCUGGGACCUGUGUGGUAAUACGCAGGCACUACAUUGCCUCUGAGUUCCAUCCACCCAACUCAGAGACUGCUAAUUGGGACAUUAGAGCUCCAGUGGGCUUUUACAGAGAAUAAGAAUUCUUAAUAUGGGAUCUCUGGAAUUCUAGAUAUUCGAUUACACAGUGUGUCCCUGAAACUCCUGAAAAUACAGGGGAAAUUACGUGCUGA